AUGACCAUGAUCACAGCUCAUUACACCUGGGAUCAGGAGGGUCUACUCCAGACAACGUCAGGAAAGGUUGCUCUGGGAAGUCUUUGAGUUCACUGUACUGGGCGUUUAAGACAAAUGCCUGUGGCAGAGUUGUAUUUAUAUAGGACAAGCUAAGAGCCUUCGGGCAGUCUUGGGAGCUCUCCUUUUGGGACUGAAUCAAGCAAGACAGAUUCAUAAAGGAGCUUUUAAAAUUGUAAGCAGCGUACACAUCUUGCUGUUACAGCGUAAGGCUAUAGCUCUUCCCACGACUGCCGAGAAUUAUUUGGUGGUUUGCGGAGGAUGGGAGGAACUGUCCUUCGUGGUUUGACAGUUUUUGAGUUCCUACUGUGCCAGGCACAGUGCUGACUGCUUCACACUCACUUCCCAUUUCAUCCCCUGAUUAGUCUCCAAGGCUGCCGUGACAAAUUACCACAAACAUGGUGGCACAACAGGGAUUUAUUCUCAGCAGUUCUGGAAGUCGAGUCUGAGAUAAGUGUAACUGGGCCCAAAUCAAGGUGUCGACAGGGUCAGUGAAAUGGAGGAAGACCCUCAACCAGAUGGAUUGACACGGUGGCUGCACCACUGGGCUCAAACAUAGUUUGUGAGGAUGACACAGGACCAGUGUUUUAUAUUGUUGUACAUAGGGUCACUCUGAGUCGGAAUCAACUUGAUGGCACCUAACGCCACCACCACUCUCUCCAGAGGCUCUAGGGGAGAAUCCGUUCCUUGUCUUUUUCAGCUGCUGGUGGCCACCAGCAUUCCUUGGCUCAUGGCCCGCUCCUUCAUCUUUAAAACCAGCUCUGUAGCAUCUUUGUGACUCUGCUUCUGUUACAUGUGCUUCUUCUCUUCUAUGUGAAACCCCCCCGCCCACCUCUUAUAAUGACCGAAGAAAAACACAAACCUACUGCCAUUGAGUUGAUUCUGACUCAUAGCGACCCUAUAGGACAGAGUAGAACUGCCCGAUAGAGUUUCCAAGGAGCGCCUGGAGGAUUCGAACCGCCGACCUCUUGGUCACCAGCCAUAGCACUUAACCACUACGCCACUUACAAUGACAGUUAAGGAUAAUUCAAGAUAAUCUCCCCAUCUCAAGACUCUUAACUUAAAGUCAACAGCAGGAAAAGUAAGGAAAAAAGAAUAAAUACAUGGAAACUAAAUAAUAAACCCUACUAAAAAGAAGUAUUGGGUCAUAGAAGAAAUCAAAACUGAAAUAAAAAAAAUUCCUGGAAUCAAAUGAAAAUGGAAACACAGCAGAACCUUUGGAACCCAGCAAAAGCAGUACUUAGAUGGAAAAGUUCUGCACGGUCACACCUCCAGGAUGCACCACCUCAUACAAUACCCAAUAAAAACAGGAAUUGGCGACACGUGCCUUUUUCUUCAGUUUCAAACAGUUAUUCAGGUCCCCAGCUGCUGGCAGCACAUACUGUCACUGGGAAAGCAGCUUCCCUAUAAACCAGACAGGUGGAAAAUGUAGAUGGGUGCUAUAUGUCCCCUGGUUAAGAAAGGUAUAUAAGGUAACAUUCACAGGAUCCAGGGCUGGGAACAUCUUUGGCGGUGGGCGGCGGGGAGGCAUUAUUCAGUCUCCCGCAUCUUCACUGUAGUCCUAUGAUGGUACUGUCCUACAUAUGUUGGGCAUGAUGAGGAAGCCAAGGCUUGGAAGGGCCAAGUGACCAUUGGGUGGCUGUGGUUCUGUGUACUCCUGGGCCUUGGGGUAGGAGCUAUGUUGUGAUGUUGCUGGACAUUCACUCACUAAACAGAUAAUUCUUGCCAUUUUCCUGUGUCAUUGCAUUCGUUUUGAAAGAAUGGAGCCUUGGGGUCAGGUACUGUGGCUGUGCCUUGCUGAGGACAUGUUUGUUGAAUGAGUGAAUCCCAGUUUUACCAUGGCUGGGUGACCUUGGCAGCCCCCUUCUCCCCAUCUUUACAUUGAUGAUAGAACAACCUGGGGGCCUGUGGUGGAAAUUAAAUGGGAUCAUGUGAGUGAAGUGGCCCAGGGAACGUCUGUGUGCUGAGUCCUCAUUCAGUGUGAGUCCCUGGGGCUUUUGAAAAAGGUGGAUUCCUGCUCCUGACCCCACUCCUCAGAUCAGUUAAAGUAACCUCUGGGGGUGGGACUGGCUUUGGCAUUUGUUAUCUUAUCCAUUAGGUGAUUCUCAUGUGUGGCCAAGGUGGAGAGCCACUGGGCCCUAAGGGGUUCCAGACUUGGGCUUCUGAACUGAACCAACCUGUUUUAAAUCCCCACAUAACCAAAAACACAAAACCCAUUGGCCUUUGGAUUGAUUCUGACUCUAAAGGAGCCUGUGUGGCACAGUGGUUAAGUGCUCAGCUGCUAACCAAAAGCUUGGCAGUUCGAACCCACCAGCUGCUCCGCUGGGAAAAGAUCUGCUUCCGUAAUGAUUACAGCUUAGGAAACCCUAUGGGGCAGUUCUCCUCGGUCCUAUAGGGUCACUGAGUGGGAAUUGACUGCACACAGUAAAAACAACAUAGCUAUAUUCAGCCAGUCACUGAAAUGCUGAGCCUUAGUUGCCUUCCGUCCCUCAGAGGCUGUGAAGACUAAGUGAAGGAAUGUACCCAGGUAUAGUGCACUUGCUGGGCACCAAGGCAGCUCUCUGUGGCGAUAGCAGCUUAGUUACUACUGACAUGAAAGGGCCGCUGGCGUAUGACCUCGCCGGCGCCUCUCCAUUCACAGUAUCACCUGGCAGAACCACAGUCGUGGUUAUAGCUGCUUCUCAAUGCAGGGGCACAAGCCCAGAGAAGAACAUACGACCACACCGAUGCGUCCCUUUAAACUCCUAACCACAGAGCUUGAGAGUGCUGCUGGGAUCGUUCGGUAGUCAGACUUCCUUUCCCAGGGAGUUCACCUGCCCACUGUCCUAGACCAGGGGCCGGCCAACUUUUUCCAUAAAGGGCUUGAUAGUAAAUAUUCUAGGCUUUGCGGGCUGCACAGUCUCUGUUGUAACUACUCUUCUACUGUAGGUAACAGUGGCCGUGGACACUGUGAAUAAAUGGGCGUGGCCACGUUCCAAUACAUCUUUAUAAAAACGAACUGUGAGCAAGACCUGGCUCUUGGGCCAGAGUUUGCUGACCCUUGCUGUUAUUUCACACUUUCUCCUCAGACCUCUAACACCUGUCUUCACCCCUGCGCAGCCCUCAUUGCUGCCGGCCUUGCUUCCUUUUGACUGAGAAAACAAGCAAUCUGGAGAGAAUUUCUGUAGCCUCCACCAGCAUCUGUAGAGUGUACCCUGCCUCCCUCCCGGUACCAGAGAGUGGCCCGUGUCUCUUGGACCAGCCUCUUGGGCGCUCCAUCCCAUCCCCUUCCCAGUGACCAGCAUAGGUGGCCUGUCACCAUGAUUUGUCCCUCUUCAUCCUUGAAACGGUCAUGGCCUGGCUUCCAGGAUCCCUCGCUCAUUUCCCUCCUGUCUCAUUUGAUGCUUCUUCAUAGUUCCUUUGUUGGUUUCUCCCUCGCUCCCUGCCACCUUACGUCCAGGUCCCAGGGCCCCGUGCUCGGGCUUCUGCUUUGGUCUGCUCUGCUUCGUUGGUGAUGUUAGCCAUUUGCACGCUUUGCUUACAACUCCUAAAUCUGUUUCUCUUGCCAAACUUCUCCCCUGAAUUCCAGACCUUUAUACUCAACUGCUUACUUGGCAGUAGAGAUGUCAAGCUUAACGUCUCUAAAGUCAAACUCGUGCUUGUAUGACAGAUUUGGCCCUGCUUUCCCACAUCAGCAGAUGACUGCACUUUUCCUUUUGUUGUUUAGACGUUAAAGCCUUGAGAUCAUCCUUGACAACUCUUUCGCCACCUACAUCCGCUUUGCCAGGAGCUCCUGUUGGCUCUGUCUUCAGAAUAUGUACAGACCAAUACACUUUUCAGGGAGCCCUGGUGGCGUAGUGGUUAAAGCACUUGGCUGCUAACCUAAAGGUUGGUGAUUCAAACCCCCCAGACGCUCUGUGGGAGAAAGAUAGGGCAGUCUGCUUCCAUAAAGAUUACAGCCUAAGAAACCCUACAGGGCAGCUCUCUUCUGUCCCGUAGCGUCGCUAUGAGUCGGAAUCGACUCCACGGCAGUGGUUAUACACUUUCAUUGCUUUGCACCUUCUUCACCUUUUGCCUUGUUCACUGCGUUGUCUUCUGAGCACCUAGUCUCGCCAUUGACGCCCAGGCCCCUGGUCAGUCUGUUUCCAGUGCAGCAGCCAGUGUGAGCUUUUCAAAGCAUAAAUCUGACCAGGUCACUCCUCUGCCCGAAACCUUCUGGAGGCUUCUUGUACUUGUAAAGCAGAGGCCACAAAGCCCUGCCUUUCACGCCCUCCCGUGCUCUGACCUGGCUAACACCGAACUCGGCGUGUGCCCAGGCUGGUCCUUCUGCCUGGCAUCUCCUCCCUCACGUGCCCACGUGGCUUAUUCAGUCUCCUAGCUCUUUGGGUCUUUGUCCAAAUGUCACCUUCUUAGGCCCAUCCUGGCACCUCUGUUUAAGAUCGCAAGCCUUGCACGCCAGCCUGGCUUUCUCCGUCUCUCUUCCUCUGCUUAAUUGUUUUUCCCAGAAAACUUUUCACUUUCCAACAUACUGUAUAAUUACUAUCCUAUUGUUUAUUAUCUCUUCCCCACCACAGGAACAUGAAGUCUGUGGGGGUACCCCACCUUAGUUCACUGCUUAUUCCUAGCCCCUAAAAGUGCCUAGCUCAAAGGAGGCACUCAGUAAACAUGAAUUGAAUGAAUGAACGUCAGAUACCUGCUAGCACCCUCUUGAGCCCCCCUACCAUGUAUGGAAGAGGUCACUAUGCCACCAAAAAAAAAAACAAACCCGUUGCCAUCAAGUUGAUUCCGACUCAUAGCAACCCUAUAGGACAGAGUAGAACUGCCCCACAGGGUUGUUUCUAAGGCAGUAAAUCUUUACGGAAGCAGACAGCCACAUCCUUCUCCCAUGGAAUGGCUGCUGGUUUCGAACCACUGACCUUAUGGUUAGCAGCUGAGCGUUUUAACCGUUGGUCGGUUUGAACUGCCGACCUUUUGGUUAGCAGCUGAGCAUUUUAACCUCUGCACUACCAGGGCUCCUCAUUUUUGUAUCGAUAGUAUCUAACAUCAUCUUGUUAGUGCUUAGAGAUCAAUCUGCUGCCCUGUGGGUUUUGGUCUCCAUGUGCAGCAGGUGAAGUGUGCAGCAGGUGAAGGCUGCCCCGGUGCCCUCAGGGUGCACGGUGAGGCUGGGCAGCCACCUAAGAAGGUAGGCUUUUUUUCUAAAGCAGAAUUAAUCUGCAAAAGGCUGUCCUCCGAAAAAGUUCAAGUUGGAUAUUUGUUUUGUUUUGUUGUUGUGUUUGUUUUUGGUUUUGCUUUGUAACUUGGAAAUACCCAAGGGAUCUAGUUUUCACCUGUGCUCUGCAGAGCCCUGCGGCGCUAUGAGCCCUGGCUAAGACUGUUCACUCCACAGACAUCAUGCUGUGGCCAGAGUGAGUCAGUGACCAGCAGGGUCUCCUGGCUGGUGAGUGACAGACAAGACUCGAGCCAGGCUCCUGACCCCAGGUCUGGCCCCUACGUGUAUACUGUGAUGUCCUUGGAGGCUGUAGACCUGUCUUGGCCAUGGUGCCAUCACCCCGAGGUUUUCCAGCCUCUUUUGCGCGUUACUGUCAGCGUUAGCCUAGUAAGCUACAAAAACAAAUCAGCCUCGUUAUUGUGUAGCCAUACCUUGUUGUUUCAAACACUUUUAUAUCGUUUAUAAAAAUCACUUCCAAAUUAUUUUUUCCUAGGUACCAAACCCAUCUGGGGGGCUGGGGACACAAAAUUUAUGUCUUCUGUCAUUUAAUCAGUGGAUCAGCAUUGUGUGCAGUCUUGGUUAAAGAUGGAGAUGACCUAGUCCCUUCCCUUGAGGAGCUCAGGGGAGAUGGGGGUUUACAGUAUGUCAAGGGCUUUUCUUUAUGACAGUAGAAAAGGCUGUGCCACGGAGAGCAGGUGGUGUGGAUUUCUGCCUGGACGUGGGGGAAGCUUUGCCGGGGACUUGCUGUUCAGCUUGGUCGUAAAGCAUGGGUAGGGAUCGUCCAGCCAAUGAGAACAGGAAUGGCAUUCCAGGCGUAGGGGGCACCUGAGCAAGGGCGUGGAGAGUGCGUGUUUGAGAUGCCUUCAGGAAGCAGCAAGUGACCCUGAGUAAGCAGAGGAAGAUAGACGGGUCAGGAGGUGUGCUGGGUGAAGGCCUUGGACAGCGUCCUAUUGGUGCUGACACAGCCUUAGAAGGGAUUUCAGCCAGAGAAUUAGCCUGUCAGGUUUACAUUUUUUUACAUAAAACUGAAAACAAACUCCUUGCUGUCAAGUGGAUUCAGACUCAGAGAGAGCCUGUAGGACAGAGUAGAACUACCCAUAGGGUUUCCAAGGCUGUAAAUCUUUACAGAAGCAGACUGCCCCAUCUUUCUCCCACAGAGUGGCUAACGGGUUCAAACUGCCAACCUCUCAGCAGCUAAGCGCUUUAACCAUUGAGCCAUCAGGACAUAGAGCCCCCUAAGACCCUAUGGUUGGUGUUCAAAGUACCAAAGUCAUCUCUCUUUCCCAGUUCUUUAAACUCAGCUCUUGACCAACCAUGAUAACAUGAGAUAGGAGAGCAAGGAUAGCCUCAAGAUGGAACAAAAUCAUGGGUAAUACUAUGGAUUGAAUUGGGUUCCCCCAAAACAUAGGUUGAAUUCCUAACCCCUGUACCUGUGAAGGUGACCCUGUUUGGAAAUAAAGGUUUUCUUUUGUUAUUUUAAUGAGGUCAUGCUAGAGUACCCAUGCCAAAAAACCAAACCUGUCGUCUUCGCCUUCGAGUUAGUUCUGACUCAUAGCAAUUCUGUAGGACAGAGUGGAAUUGCCCCAUAGGGUUUCCAAGGAGUGGUAGGUGGAUUUGAACUGCCGACUUUUUGGGUAGCAGCCGAGCUCCUAACCACUGUCCCACCAGGGCUUCAGGUUGCUAGAGUACAGUGGGUCCUAACCCAGAUCCUUAGGAGUGGUGUCUUACAAAAGAGAGUCAGGCAUGAAGAGAGACACAUGCAGGCGGAAGAGACCACGUGAGGCACCAUCUAUGAGCCAAGGAACGUCCAGGCUACUGCCAGGGAGGGACCCUCCCUGGAGCCAGCGUCCUGAUUUGCAUCUAGUCCCCAAAAAGUUGAGACAAUAAUUUUCUGUUCUUUAAAGCCCCCCGUUUGCUGUAUGUUUGUUAUGGCAGCAAUAGGAAGCUAGGGCAGGUGACAGAAAAGGAGACCAGGUAUAAAUCUGGUUAAAACUACACGUGAAAUUCAGCAGCACAUUUAACUUUUACAAAUCUAUUGUUUUUACACUUUAAGUGUCGCAGACAGGGCAGGAGUUGAGCUCAGCAGCCUGCUCCCUUCUCUCCUCUUCCUCACCUGGGGUUGGGGACUCGAGAAGGGGGCAGUACUACCUGUGGUGAGGAAGGACAGGACUCUGCUGGCGUCUCUACGUGUCACCCUUGGUUCCUAGUGAUUCCAGAUAUCAGUGUAUCAUGUUAUAGUGGUUCUCAUUUCUCUUACAAAUGCGCUACCUUCUCGUUGCUUACCAGGGUUCGUCCCUGAAAUGUUCAGUCCGCCCACAGGUGACCACCCACAGGUGACCACCCACAGGUAAUCAAGAUUUGAUGACAGGAGUUUGCUAAAACCAAUUCUGAAUAGCUUUGUCGUAUUGAGCCUUCAUACUUCAGACUCACAGCUACCCUAUAGGACAGAGUAGAACUGCCCUAUAGGGUUUCCAAGGCUGUAAUCUUUAUAAAAGCAGACUGCCACAUGGUUCUCCUGCAGGGUGGCUGGUAGGUUCGAGCCACCAACAUUUGGUUAGCCACCAAGCGCUUAACCACUGUACUACCAAGGGCUCCUUAACCACAGGUACAGGGGUUAGGAUAUACAGCACAUAUUUUGCGGGGUGGACAUAGUUCAAACCAUAACAGUGAUAGAGCCAGGAUUCCAGCACAGAGAGUCUGGCUUCAGAAUUCGUGCUCCUAACUUGAAGGCCACGCCGCUGCCCGCUGUCCACCACCCUGGCUCCCUGAGCUGCCGGCCCCAGGCACACUCUGCCCUUUCUCCUGAGCAGGUGUGGUGACCGCAUUCUGGUCUUCUUGAUUGGGGCAACCAUGCCCCCACCAGCCCCCCAGGUCUUAGCAAGUGACCCUUCCAGGCCCUGUCUCCAGAUCUUAGUGCCAGCUUUACCAUAGCCUUUCUCUGUCUGAAUCCAGUGUUCCCGGAGCCACAGCCCAACAACAGAGAAUUACCAGAAGCCUUGAUUUCAGGGUCAUUGUGGCUGGUGAUCCCCUUUUUCCCUGCCCCAUAUUUCCAGAAAGUGACCCUGUUGGUUCUGUGGGAACUGUUUUCUCUUUGUAAGAGAGUAAGACUGUGGUUGUCACAGCUGCUCGGUUAGUGACUGUCCCGUUCAGCCCCUAGUUUAGCAGGGUCUGGCGAGCAGAGGCGUUCUCAGGCCACCCACUCCUCUGCGCCCUUCAUUGAGGAGUGUAUGUUCUGCCCAGCUGACCACACUUAGGAAAGGGAGGAGAGCCCGAGGUUCCGCUCACUGGCCUGGCCCUCGCCAUAGGAGGAGAGGAGUGUGGCGCGAAUCUCAAGUGUGGAGAAGAGAAACUGACUGAAGAGGGUCUGGAGCAGCCAUUUUGGCCUCAGUCUCCUGGUCUUUAAAAUGAGGCUGGAACCAGAGGUGAGUUAAAUACUGUCUGCAAUCCCUGCAAACCCUCACCUUCUGUUAUCAAGCUGUCCUGAUCUUCCAAACUCUGGAUCCGUUUUGUGGCCCCAUUUUGGAGCUGCAUUUGAUCUCCCUAAAAUGAGAGGUGCUAUUUUGGACACUGCUGUCUGUGAGAGAGAUGUGUGUUUAAAACUAAAAUAGAGUGUGCUUUUCAAUCUGAGGGUGUUUCCUUUUUCUCUUUCACCCACACUGUGUUUAAAGCGUGGUGUCCUCCCACCUAGGCAACAGCCUCAGGGAGGCGCUGACCAGCAAGCUGCUCUGGGUAAGGGCCACUUCAUGGCGUCAGAGCCAAGAGGACUCCUGCUUGCUCAGUUUCGUUUGUAGGCAACUUGUCUGCUGAUUCGAGGACCGGGUCAUUUGCCUGAGAGCCCCGGGGGUUCCAGAGUGUAAAAGGCUGAACCUUCCUUACUGUCUAGCUGAGAGGCUCUCCUCCGGGCCCACAUGUGGAGGCCAUAGGAAGCCAGACCCCAGAAAUCGGAGUUAACUGACUUAACUGUUGACAGCAACUCUGUACCCAGCCUUGGUGGUCCUUUGGCCUCUUUGAUGGUUGCCAACAUAUUAUGAAGAGGGUACCUUUUUUUUCCACCUGCCUGAGUAGGGAAGGGGUGAGGUAGAUGAAACCCACUGCUGUCAAGUGGGUUCCUACUCAUAGUGAUGCUAUAGGACCGAGUAGAACUGCCUCACAGGGUUUCCAGGGAGCAGCUGGUGUGUUCGAACUGCUGACGUUUUGGUUAGCAGCUGUAGCUUUUAACUGGAUGGGGCUAAGAAGGGUGCUGCUGUCUGUGCUCUACCUUCUGGUCUGCACCUGUUGAGCUGACUCUGUGUUCAGUUCCGGCGUCCCUGAGCGGGAAUGUAGCCCACACGUCGUUCUGUUGAGGGUUUUCAGUGGCUGAUUUUUCAGAAGUAGAUCGCCUGACAUUUCUUCUGAGGCGCCUCUGGGUGGACUUGAACCUCCAUUCUUUUGGUUAGCAGCCGAAUGAGUGCAUUAACUGUUAGCACCACUCCAGGUCUAGUUGAUAGCACCUCUGAUUCUAGGACCAUGGAGAGGGGACUGCGGUCACCACUCUGGCUGGUGGCAGUACUGGGGGGGGACAGAAUCUGAGGUGUGUGCUGGUGUGAGAGGUCCCAAGGUUACCCCAGCGGAUUGCAUUGAGCAAGGUGUUUUAAUCGCCAGGAGCCCUGGGUGUUUUGCUAUGCCAAUCCCAUGUCAGUUUAGCCAGUGGCGGCCCCAGAGGUAGGUGGUAGCCUGGUUGGUGGCAUCUCCACGCGGGGAUCACUAGUUUGAACCAGCUUGUCCCAGCCGCCAGGAGCCAGUGUUGUAAACCUGCUGUUUGUCAACCGGAAGCAUGGUUUGCAUCACAGCCUGCCCAGGUUUCUGUGACGCAGGCAGUACGGUUGAAUGGCUGCAAACCACUUGGACAGACCGUGUUGUGGGGAUGUGGUCCUUAGUUGAUUGUCUACCUGACACAGGGCACAUCAAUACAGAGACAUCUAUCUUCUGCCAGCUUCUCUGGAAGGAGUUACAGCUGCAAACUGACUUUGGGUGCAAAGGAAGACAACAAAUGUGUUGCCCUCUCCUCUCCCUGCAGGGCAGUUAGCCUCUUGUAGAGAGUCUUGAGCUUAGCCCAGGCUCUGUGAAUUCCUGGUUGACUGACUUGCAUUGAGCUGCUUCCCAAGUCAGAGUCUGGAGUCCUUAGUGCCCUACCACGGGUAUCCCCCUACAUGGGUCUCCCUGCCAGGGUGCUUGUGUCACCUCUCCCUCAGGCUGUACCUGGUUCUAACUCCACCUCUAACCCCAGGACACCAGUGUCUGUCUUCCUAGAAAGCCUCUCCAGGGAUGCUUGUGUCCUCACAAAGCCUUCAAAACUGCCUGCCAAACGGCUCGGCCGGGCUGGGAGCUGCCUCCAGGGAGUCCUGCCUCAGGCUGGCUUCUUCCAGCCAGGAGCUGCGGGCUCAUCAUUCAGCCAGCCCUCCUGCCUCUGCCCACCUGCUGCUCCACCAGCUGUGGAGGUAUAGCUGCCCCAGGAGCCUGGACAGCAGGCUAUGUUCCCUCUGGCCGCUGCCGGGUAGCUCACAGGGCCUGCUCUCUGCUGGAGCAUAAAGCCUUUUUCUUACAUUUCUGCAGGGCACGUGGUGGAGCCCCUCGGAGGAUUCUUGGUUCUCUCGGUGUCCUGGGCAGAUGGGGAACUCACCCGUGAGAGCUUGGCUCGUUGGCAUUUGCCACGUGCUGGGCAUUGCACAUGGUCCUUGGGUGUUCCAAACACUUGCACUCGACUGCUAACCUAAAGAUUGGUGGUUCAGAUGCACUCAGUGGUGCUGUGGAAGAAAGACCUGGCAAUCUCCUUCCGUAAAGAUCACAGCCAAGGAAAGCCUGUGGAUCAGUUCCGCUCUCUAACACCUGGGGUCUCCGUGAGCCGGAAUCAACUCAGCAGCAGUGGGUUUGGUUUGGGCAUUAUUUCAGGUAUUUUUCAAGGAUCAGUUUAUUAAUCACCAACUACUUCAGGCAACACUUCACGUGAAAGGGGGUAGACUGUACAGUGAACACCCACCCAGCCUGAGACAUUUUCAUCACCCAUGAGAGUGAAACUACGUCUCCACCACCGCCCGCUCCCUGCCUGAGGUUCCUGCUGCUUGAAUUUGCUUUUAUUGUUUCCAUCCAUGUAAAUUUUGUAUUUUGAGAUCCGUCUUCACAGAUUUUGUUCUAGGCGGUGGGGAGCAAGCGCAACGUGUUCCUUUUCAGUUUCAGUCUUGUGAGGCUUGUGGUCAGAAAGCUCUAUUUCUUGAAAGCAGGUUCUUGGCUGCACAUCUGUCCACAGCGGCCCAGGGAUGACAUGUGGGUUCCUGAUGGGUGGCGAGUGCUCUCUCCCAGGCUCCUGCUCCUGUCCGCCCUGCAGCACUGGUGCAUGUGGGGUGCCGGGGCUGGCGUGGGACCCGCCCCUGCCACAGUUCAGAUGACCUCCGCUGUGGCGUUUGCUUCCUUUGGACAAGUCCCCUCUGCCCCCGAGGGUCCCUGCGGUGUCUGCUUUGAACACCUGAUCUUUGUAUCGCUCGUGUGUCCUGCCCUAAGCAUAACAUCCCCCGUGGGCUCCCUGUCUUCUUCCUGUCCAGGGGCUGUCCCACUUUCCUGUCACCGCUCCGCUCCCUUGGACAGGGAGACACGGCUGUGUGGAGGGCCAUGGUCCCGUGAUGGGCCAAACGCACGGACCGUGCUUUGUGUUUAGUCCUGAGAGGUCUUCUCCUCCUCUCCGCUCUGCCUUUCCCUUCUUGAAAGAUGGUCUUACACCCCCAUCCCAGCCCCGCCCCCAUGCCCACUUUGCCAACACUGUUUCCUCUGUAUCUUAACUGAAGCAUGGCUGGCUGUGCCGGGAAAGCCAGAGGCCUCGAAACAGUAGGGUCUUCUCUGUGCACAUCCUGCAUCUUUCUGGGGGUGGGCUUGGCCAUCCCUUCCUCAUUCACCCAGGGCUGUGCCAUCCUUUCUACCUCCUGUGACUGCCCUCUGUGGCUCCAGGUGACCCUGGUCUUCAGGGAGGACUGGCCAUCUAUCUCUGAGUUCCUGUUAUCUCCUGGCGACUCCUGUGUCUGUGGGGACGAGUCUGGCCUUGUGGUCAUUCUUGAGACCCCACCCCAAGUUGUCCACCCCUGGCUCCCAGGCUCUGAACUCCCACCCCCUCCUCCUGUGUAGCUGGUUCUUGGCUGGCCCUCUCCCUGUCUGUGAGCCCCACUGGGGGCUCGGGUGCCAGGCCCUGCGGGUACCGGGAGGAUCAGGCCCAGCCCUGCCCUCAGAGCCCAGAUUCUGGGGCGUGGCAAUUUGGUGUGACUGGGUGAUGGGGGAGGUGUGUGCAGAGCACUGUAAGAAGUUGGGGGGUGGGUAGGACUUGAGAUAUUUGAGGCCGGCUCUGGAAGCCGAUCUCCAGGGAAGCAGAGGAAUUAGCCGCAGGAGCGAGGUGGGAAGGUGUAACAGAGACCUAUAACUGGGCAUGGAGGUGCUAGACAACCUAGUGUGGGUGUGUCUUUCCAGGUAUAUUUCUGCAUGCAUUUCGUGAAAAGUUUAGAAAAAAUAUGAACAGUAGGAGAAAAGAAAAAUGUGGUCCAUAUUUUUCCUCUCCUCAAAGGCAACCCGUGUUAACAUUUUCAUGUUUUCUCCUAAUCCUUUGCAGUUUGCGUGUGUGUGCGUCUGUAUAGCUACAUCGGCAGAUCUCAGAAUCUUUUCUUUUCACUUGUCAAGUUGUUACAAAUUUAGCGACUCCCAUUUCAAAUGUCUGCGUAGUAUUCCGUCAUGUGACUGAACCAUAACUCACUGUUUCCCUGACAGUCAUUUAGGCUGCUCUGAAGUCUUAGUUUAUGGUGUAAGAGAUUUUAUAGCAUAAGGAAUGCUGCAGUGGGCAUCCUCACUGAGGUCCUGCCAGAGCAGAGACGUCAGUCUUCCCAUCAGCGGCUUUCCUUUCAUUGUGGCUGGCCUCUCGUAGCAAAUGGGCCCCAGGCGGUGGCAGAGUAAAUGCGGCAUCAGCUUUGUGGGACUGCCAGGGUCUAAGUGGCUGUCACCUCAUCCCACUAAAAGGUCCAAGUCUUCCUGCUAAGCGAGUGCAUCCUGAGCACACGGUGCCAUUGUUGUUUUGUAGGCCUUUGGCUGCUUAAGGGCUGAAUAAAUAACCACCUGUUACCUUCUUUGUAAGACAUAUUUUAGAUUAAAUUGUUUUUAAAUCCAUGUACACGAAGAUGUUGAUGCAAUCUUUAAAAUAUGAUAAUGAUGCAGCCAGGAAGCAGCAUGAAAAAUGUUUAUAAUCUAGGAUUCAAGUGAAGAAGCAGGAUACUAAUUCUUUUGUCCUCACUGAUCAGAACUGUGCAAAAUACGCAUAGAAGAAGAACUGGCUUUGGUGAAGGCGUGAUCGUAUGUGGGGACCUGAUGGUCUCCUUCUGAAAACCCAGCCAUUGAAAACCCUGUGAAGCACAGUUCCGCUCUGAUGCACAUGGGGUCGCCAGGAGUCAGAGUCGACUCGGGCGGCAACAGUUGUUGAUUUGUUGUUUCCCCCUGUAUUUUCCAAAUCUGCCAUAAUGGAACAGUGGUAAUAAUUUUUCUUUUUAAAAUCUCUGUGUUUAUUGUCUUUGGAAAACUCUAUGGUUAGGUUCUGUUAAAGCACCAGAGGUCAAACUUGGGAUGGCUUGGUUCCAAGGCCAUUACAUGUUGUGGUUGUACCUCUGACCUGUUGGGCCCCUUCUUGCUUGGGGACCACUGUUACGGUAACUUUCUGGUGGUGAGAACCCAGAUGCAGGGUUGCUUUACUUUGUUGAUUUCAGGGUGUGAGUAUUUUCUUAAUUUGAAAGUAUUUUGAUUUUUAAAUGAGACCUUUUGGAACUUCUUCCAUUCACCAUCCCCUGAAUGGUUAAUCUAGCAUCUCAUUACUAUAAGAGAAUACUCAUCUCGAAAUAAAUCUGUAGCUGAGAAAAUAGAAAUCUGUUGGAAACAUCUUGUCUAAAGUACUAAAACAUGCUGUUUGAUAAGUACCUAAAUUAAAUAUUCCUUUUCUUCCAUAAAUGUCAUUUAAGUUUCAUUAAAAGGGUUACUGUUGUUUCCAGCCACUCCUCUUCACUGCUUAAAGUCAGUGGAUAGAGACUCCUGAUGGGGAGGUUAGCUUAUUAGAAACAGGACUGUUUCAAAGUUUUGAAUCACACUGUUGGUGGGGGAUUUGUCACAGUCCCACCCAGUGGGGCUCCGCUCUCUGUAGGGCCCCUGCCCACAAUUUUAAGAUGCUGCUGGUACCCUCAUGGGUGUUCAUGUUGACUGAUUUAUUUUGGGGGCUGGGCUCCUUCACUUGACACAUACACUUCCUACCUUUUUUGUAUUUUUUUCUAGAGUCUCAAUAAAUUAGGCUGAGUUCUAUAGAAAUGCACAUACAACGUGGGUACUCUUACAUGGUUCUCUUAGAAUCAGAUAUAAUCCCAUUGAUGCUUUGUGAAGCAUCAGAGAUGCUGCGAAUGUUUUCCAGGGCCCUGAGAGUCUAAGAAGUUUGAAAAACCUUGGCUUCUAUUCUCUUGAUUUCACGCUCCUUUUGCUUUUUUUCUUGUCCCUCUUCUUUUCUUGGUCUUGGUUGUCUCGUGAAAGAUGAAACCCUCUGAUUUUCCCUUGUCUUUCUCAUUGCCCCUGAGCACUGGUGCAUCUCAACGGCCUAAAAAGGUGUGGAAACCCGGAUUUGGGUGAGCCAGAGGAAGAGACCUGGGUCAGCCAGGCCAGAGCUCCUCAGAGUUGCACAGAGGUGGUACGGUUUGGGGUAGGGAAAACAGGUCCAGAUCAAAGAGCUUGUAGAUUAUGGGGCUGGUUUUCUGCAGAUGGUUUACAUCAGAAGGAGCCUAGGGUUAGAAGUAAAUUCUUAGAAGGCUAGUUGCCUAAAGGGCAAGACGGAAGACUCUGCAGAGUCCAAGUGCUUCUCACACAUCUGGUUGCUCUACUUCUGAUGGCCACAGCCCAGAGGGAGCUGAGGUGAGAAGAGUCAGUAUGCCCUGAGCUGGGGUGUUUGCACCAGUGACCUCAGUCAGUGGCCGGAGGCAGGUAAGGGCGCGCUUGAAAGCACACACCAGCCCAUAAGUGUACAUCGAUUGGCUCCUGCGGAGACCAGAUGUAGCCAAGUUCUGAGAGGAGAUGAAGCACGAGUUACCAUCUCUGCUCUCACGGAAAGGGAAGCCUGGCUGAUUCAAGCUAAGUAUUUUUUUUUUUAAUGAAUUUUUAUUUUUUAUUUUUUUUGGCUUUAACAAAGAGAAGUUUAUUUUCUCACAGUAACAUAGGCUAAAAGUCCAAAUUCAGGGUGUCAGCUCCCAUGGAAGCCUUUCUGACUGUCGGCUCUGGAGGAAGGUCUUUCUCAUCAAUCUUCCCCUAGACUAGGAGCUUCUCUGUGCGGGAACCCAGGGUUUAAAGGACGCACUCUGCUCCCAGUGCUUCUUUCUUGCUGGUAUGAGGUCCCCAACUCUCUGCUUGCUUCCUUUUCCUUUCCUCUCUUGAGAGAGAAAAGGUGGUGCAGGUCACACCCCUGGGAAACUCCCUUUACACUGGAUCAGGGAGGUGACCUGAGUAAGGGUGGUGUUACAAUUCCACCCUAAGCCUCUCAACAUAAAAUUACAAUCACAAAAUGGAGGACAAGUGCAGAAUACUGGGAAUCAUGGCCUUACCAAACAGAUAUACACAUUUUUGGGGGGACAUAAUUCAACCCAUGACAUAGGGGUUUCCUUUUGGGUUGUUGAAAAUAUUCUAAUAUUAACUGUGGUCGUGGUUGCGCAACUCUGCGAAUAUACUAAAAGCUAUUGAAUUGUACAGUAAAUGAUUUGUGUGCCAUGUGAAUUGUAUCACAGUAAACCUGAAAAAAAACAAAAACAACUGCUGAUCCCUGGACCCUAACUAGGAGACACUGAUUUAACUGGCAUGGGGUGCAGCCUGGGAACCGGGAGUUCUGAAAACUCGAUCGCUGAUUCUAAAAUGGGUGGCAGAGUUUGAGAACCACAGGUGUGCGUAUCAUCCAAAUAGAGUAAAUAGGAAAACAUUCUUUGGAGCAGUAUAUUCCUAUUUUCCUAUUAUUGUCCAUCGGUUUACGGACUCAUACCCAAGGGGGGAAAAAAAAGACCAGAAAAGGGCUCACAGUAAUUAAUCAGAUGGGAUCAUUAGGAAAACUGUGGCUCCUAUACAAAAGUUGGCCAGUACAUUUGGGAGUUACAUGCUGGUUACAGAUGGCACUUUGUGAAAAGUCUUUGGCACUCUCUUUGGUUUAAAAGUAAUUUUCAUUGCCAAGGAUUGACUUUGUUUCUACUGUGGGUUUAUUUUUGAGUCUAAAUAAAUUUAUCCUAAUAGGGUUAUUACCGCUCAAUUUUCUUGGGUUAAAUUUGGAUUUUUAUUUUUGACUAGUUUUAGAAAAGUUGCAGAUAGUAAGAGCUUUUUUGUGUAUCCCACAUUCAGCUUCCCCUAUUGUCUUACAUUGCCAUAGUACCUUGUGGUACAUUAGUCACACUAAGGAACCAAUGUUGAUACACUGGUAUUAAUUAAAGUUCAUAUUUUUUCCAGAUUCCCUCAGUUUGUACCUGAUGCUCUUUUUCUGUCCCAGAAUCCCAUCUAGGAUCCAGUCUCACAUUCCAUUUAGUCAUCGUGUCUCCCCAGGCUCCUCUGGGUUGUGGGAUUUCUCACUUUCUUUGUUUUUUGAUGACCUUGAGAGUUUUGAAAAAUACGUUCAGGUAUUUGUAGAAUGCCCUUCAAUUUCCAUUUGUCUAACGUUUUUCUCAUGAUUAGAUUGGGGUUACGGGUUUUAAGGAUGAAGACCACAGAGAGAAAUGCCCUUCUUAUCACAUCCUAUCAGGAGUACACACUGUCACCAUGACGUACUACUGAUGUCGUUAUCCUUGACCACUUGGCUGAGGUAGUGUCUGUCAGCUUUCUGCACUGUAAAGUUACUUUUUCCCGUUCCAUACUGUUCUCUUUGGAAGGAAAUCACCAGGCACAGUCCAGGUGUAAGGGGCAGCAGUUUUCACCUCUUUGAGGAGAGAGGACUCUACAUAAAUUAUUUGGAAUUCUUAUGUAUGGAAGAUUUUUCUCUUCUCCCCCACUUAUUUAUUCAAUCAUUUAUUUAUGUCAUUAUGGAAUCGUGAAUAUUAAUUUUAUACUUUGGUUUAUGAUCCAAUAUUAGGUUAUUUCUUGUGUUGUUCAAAGCCAGAAUGUUCCAGCUUUGGCCAUCGGGAGCUCUUUCAGUAGUUCCUCUGAUGUACCAUAUCGUGGAGUUUUCUGAUUUAUUUUCUGAGCACUUCCUUAUUUCAGGACUCUGAGAUGCUCCAGGCUCAUCUUGUGUAUUUUCCUGUACCAGCCCUAGAAUCAGCCAUUUCUCCAAAGAACCCUCCUUCCUUUUACUGGAGAACGGCAUUGGAAACCAAGAGCUGGGCACGGAGUGGCUGAAGUUAUUUUAGUUUUGAUUUCUACGUAAUCAACUGAAGAAAGCAAAACAUCUAAGUAGCAGUAGCAUUAGGAAAUAACUGCAAAUCCCUGCCUGUUUACCACCUCUGCCCCCUACCCUACUCGGGCUCUGUUGUUGUUGUUAGGGGCCGUCGAGUUGAUUCCGACUCAUAGUGACUCUGUGUGCAGCAGAAUGAAACACUGUCGGGUCCUGUGCCAUCCUCACAAUGGUUGUUAUGCUUGAGCCCAUUGUUGCAGCCACGGUGUCAGGACAUCUUAUCAAGGAUCUUCCUCUUUUUCACUGACCCUGUACUUUGCCAAGCAUGAUGUACUUCUCCAGGGACAGGUCCCUCCUGAUAACAUGUCCAAAACAGGGAAGACCAAGUCUUGCCAUCCUCACUUCUAAGGAGCAUCCUGGCUGUACUUCUUCCAAGAAGAUUUGUUCGUUUUUCUGGCUGUUCACGGUUAUAGCCAGUAUUCCUCACCAAUACCGUAAUACAAAGGUGUCAAUUCUUCAGUCUUCCUUAUUCAUUGUCUACCUUUCUCAUGUGUAUGAAGCAAUUGAAAAUACCAUGGCUUGGGUGGGGUACACCUUAGUCCUCAGAGUGACAUCUUUGCUUUUUAAUUAACACUUUAAAGAGGUCUUUUGCAGCUGAUUUGCUCAAUUCAGUGGGAAAUUUGGUUUCUUGACUGCUUCCAUGGGCGUUGAUUGUGGAUCAAGUAAGAUGGAACCCUUGACAACUCCAGUCUUUUCUCCGUUGACCAUGAUGUUGCUCAUUGGUCCAGUUGUGAGAUUUUUGUUUUCUUUAUGUUGAGGUGUAAUCCAUACUGAAGGCUGUGGUCUUUGAUCUUCAUCAGUAAGUGCUUCAAGUCUUCUUCACUUUCAGCAAGCAAGGUUGUGUCAUCUGCAUAGUGUAGGGUAUUAAUGAGUCUUCCUCCAGUGCUGAUGCUGUUUUCUUCUCCAUGUAGUCCAGCUUCUAAGAUUAUUUGUUCAGCACACAAAGUGAAUAAGUAUGGCGAAAGGGUACAACCCUGACACACAUCUUUCCUGAUUUUAAGCCACACAAUAUCCCCUCGUUCUGUUUGAACAGCUGCCUCUUGGUCUAUUUACAGGUUCCUCAUGAGCACAACUAAGUAUUCUGGAAUUCCCAUUCUUCACAAUGUUAUCCAUAAUUUGUUCUGAUCCACACAGUCGAAUGCCUUUGGGCUCUACAGACACAAUUUUGUAGUUACAAACAUACUUCAGAAUGUACUUCAUCCUGAAGUUGUCUCUACAGGGUGAUACCUUUAUUCACAGAGUCUCACUCUUAUUCUGAAAUCAUGAGCCCUCUUCCUGGCUCUUGGUAGAGACACAGUGAAUAAGUCUUGAAUGAUUGAUUCCUGCUCACUGCUCUUUGAGUCCUGAAGUGGACCUUGGUUAAAAGGAAUAAGAUCUAACCUAAGAGCCUGAUGGAAGAAAAGUUUUAAACACGUGAUGAGCUAUGUAGAUAGGAAGCACAACAAGCGUUCCCUGGAAGGAGGGGUUACUUGAGGCUGGGGCUCAGGAAAAGGACUAAGAUUGGGUUUGAUCUGACUCUGGCAGGAUAGUUAGGGUGGAGUAGGGAGUGCUAUGGAGAUCAUAACGUGGAAGCUGUAAGAGAAGAGAAGGACUAGAUGGCCAGACAGCUUUCCUAGGGUUGUAGAAGCCAGUACCGCAAGUUAAAGACUUUGGACUCUUGUCUGACGUGUGCACAUGCCUCUGUGUGUGUGUGUGUGUAAAUGAUGUUGUAGCCUGUUGCCUUAGCCCUAUGUGGGGUUUUAGUGGGACUAGAGAAAAGAGGGUGAUGGAAGCAGAGAAGUUGCAAAGGAAGAGGGACAGAACUUAGGGACAGAACAGUCUGAGGAGGGUUGAUAAAGAAAAAAGUGACAAUAUGUCUGAGCUCCCAAAAAUGGUGGUACUCUGAAAAGAGAGAACUCAGAAGAAGCUAGUUCUGAAGGGAAUGUGGUUUCAAGCUUCAGUGGGUGCAUGAGGUCCAGGGGAGAUGGCUAGUAGACUUGGAAAUGUUAGAUUGGGCCUCAGUAGUCAUUCAGGCUGAGGUAAGAGGGAUGUGGUCAUCAGCUCCUGGAUGGCUUGAGUGGCUUAGAUUGGCAAAGUGCCAGAGAGUGGAGGCACACACCGAGAACUAGGCUUAACCUGUCCCUGUAUUGCCCACUAUGUUGGGAAAGAGAGAUACUGCCAGUCAUGCCUCAGAUGGGGUGCCAGGACACUAAAGUACCACAUGGGAGAUGUCAUUUACACACCGUCUAUUGACACCAUUGAUACCAAGCAGUUUAAGUGCUUUUAACUCAAGAUUCUGGACGCAGUGCUGGAACCUUCCUACUGCUAAUCUCCUUGAACACUCCCAUCCUGAGGGGCAAUUUGGCCCUAUUCUUGGCAUAGCAGUCCCCCUCCCCUCCAGCAAGAAACUGAGCUCAGGAAUGCACUUCCCACCUCAUGAUUGUGGGUGUGUAAUUUGCUCCUAGGAAGGAGAUGCAGUGGGGUGUCUGUAGUGGUUUUGUCUCAGUUGUUCUUGAAUAGUAGGAUAUUUCAUGCAGGGUUCGUGUAUCCUCCCCCAGGCCACUGCAAGAUUCUGACUGCCUUCUUUGUUCCUCCCACGUAGACUGAGCAUCUUCAUAGGACCAUGUGUCUGUGGACUGAGGUGGACAGGGUGACCGUGUCUACCCAGAGCUCCUUGUAGCUUCUUCAGAUGGGGUGGCUGUGACCAGAGUGAUAGUCUGGCAGUGUCAAGAAGUGCCCCAGUUCUGGGUAUGUCAGUAGGACUUGUUGAUGCGUUAGAUAGUGAGUGGGGGUAGGGAGAAAGCAAGGAAGACUCCAAGUUUUUGGCACGAGUCACCUGGAGAAUGCUGGUGCCAUUUGCUGGGACAGAGAAGGCUGGGGCUGGAGCGGGCUGGAGCAGGCUGGAAACAGAGCAGGGUUGCCACUCCCAAGAAUUUGAGAAUCUCUGCGUGAAAAGCGGGGUUUUUCUCCUGGUUUCCCUUCUGACCAUGCUGCUUAUCACACACGAGUCUCUAAAAAGAGCGGAAGAGGAGGUGGCUCAGACACAGCACCUGGCUCUGGGGCAGGGGUCCAGGCGUGCAGAUGCAGAUGUCCGUGUGAGAGGAGCUGUACAUCCCGGAUGGUCUCCUCAGUUGGGCCUCACAGAGGUGUCCUGGUCCCUGUGCCCGUGGUGUCACAGUUAACAUGGAGGUGGAGCUUGGGGUUUCAGGUGAGGGAGUUUCAUGCCUCGCUGGUUGAAAUAUGAGGUACUUCUGGAGGCAUUUGGGAUCUGGUUCAGUCCUGACCCCUUUGUCGUCCCCGUGGGGUUGCUCUCUUCCCUGUCUUACUCUGUUCGGAGCAGGCCUGCGCAUCAGCUCGCCCUACAACCGCCAUCACUGCAGGAAUCUAGACCUGCCCUUGCUGUCCCUGUCGGUGGCAGCACCUAGCUGAGGGCUGGACAGAUUGUGCCUGCUUCUGGCCAAGUAACAGCUGGAGUUUGGACGUUCGCUCCUUCAGGUACCACGCAGUCCAUAGGGAUUUUUCUGUUUGUUUUCCAAAAUUAUUAUUUUACGAUAUGUGGAUUCUUUCUGCCUAGAAAACAAAAUAAAACUUUCCAAAGAAAAGAAGCAUUUUAAUAUUUGCUUUUAAUUUAAAAAGUUACAGUGAAGAAAAAUAAAAUGAGGUAGCAUUUCUUUAUGUUGGAGGAAAAAAAAAUCGGAACUCAAACUGGGUCAGACAGACAUGAGCAGGAACAAUAAGUUCCGGCUGUGUCUUACUGCAGCUGAGACCCACAAAACAAUCGUAUUUCCAAAAGAGGUGGGCGGGGGAGUUUGUGUACCUCUGGGGGCUUUUCACAUUGUGGGUAGUAAUGCGGUCAGAUGGUGGAUUUUUCUAAGUUUGGGGUAACUUUCUGUUUCAGCAGCCACCUCCCUGAAGGUGCUUUGCUCCCUGAUCCUGUCGCCCCAACGCACGAGGUCUCUGUGAGGAGUCCCCAGGGACCUGGGGUGCUGGGGCUGGGUGUCGGGGGAGCGGGCAAGUAGAAAAUAAACCGAGUGCUCUUGAGCCCCACAGGCCCUCAUUCAGUGGGCAGUGUUGUUAGGUGCCGUGGAGUUGAUUUUGACUCAUAGGCACCCCAUGUGACAGAGUAGACCUGCCCCAUAUGCUUUUCUAGGCUGUAAUCUUCAUGGGAGCAGAUCACCAGCCAGGUCUUUCUCACACGGAGCCUCUGGGUGGGUUAAAACCACCAGCCUUUCGGUUAGCAGCCACUUAGUGGUUGCUCAGUCUCUUUAAAACAUUUGCAGACACUCAUGUACACCCUCACUUGGACCGCUUGGUUUCUAAGCCCCCAACCCCAGCCAGGGAGAAGCAGUACCAGUCAGACGACGGGAACGCUGAGAGCUGAUAACUUGAUUGCAAGCAAAGAGAUCGAAACCUUCCUCGUGAGCAGAUGUAGAAACGGGAAAGGAACAGCAAAUCAAGUCCACUGGAGACGGAAACCAGCAGCUUGUGCAUCCCAGGAGAAGGCACUCCUGUAGGACAGUCAGGUGCCUGAGUCGGCAUUCACAGAUGAGGGAAAUCAGUGGUGAUGACGGCAAGCAGCCUGUUCUUCCCCAUAUCGGGACGGGAAAUGGAGCCCCAGGGAAGUAAGUCCUAGGCACACAACUCAGGAACAGGAUUGAUCUACUCUGUUUUAACUGUGUGGUGUGAUCUCUUGUUCCGAAUAGCCCUAAAAAAUCUGAUACAAGUAUAAUACAUUUUAGAACAAUGUUCUUCUAAUGUGGAUUGCUUUUUAUAAAUUGUCCUCAAGUCAUAGCUCACUGGCCAGAAGCAGAUGCCAGAGAUUUGCCUUCUGGGACAUCUCACGUUGCCUGAAGGAGUUGGCCCUACUGAUCUGCCGUCUCUGACAUGAGGCCCUUUAUCACUUGUUCACAUCUUCCUCGGCUGGCUGGGAGGAGACCUCAGAGGGAUAUGUGGGCCGGAAUCUGGAGACCCUUCAGGGAUGACGGGUGUGGUGUGUUUGUGAAGGUGAGGACAGUUGUGUCCCUGGGGAGGUCCAGGCAGGCACCUGUACAGGCAAGUUUAACCCUUGGACCUUCUGGCAUUGGUUUGAUAGCCAGAGGGAUGCUUAUAGGAAACAGCUCAGCCAGAGCCCCAUUUCAGAAUUACAGAGAUACAACAGCUGUAGUUUGUCCUCAUGGAAAUGGAUUGACACAGUAGCCGUAACAGUGGGUCCAAACAUACCAACGAUCAUGAAGGCGGAGCAGGACUGGGCAUUAUUUCCUUCUGUUAUACCUAAGGAGCCCUGGUGGCUCAGUGGUUAAGAGCUCAGCUCCUAACCAAGAGGUUGGCAAUUCGAAUCCACUAGCCACUCCUUGGGAACCUAUGGGGCCAUUCUACUCUGUCCUGUAGGGUUGCUAUGAGUCGGAAUCGACUUGAAGGCAGUGGGUUAUACAUAAGGUCGCCGUGAGUCAGACCUGACUGGGUGGUGACUAACAACGACAACACAUCUUAAAUACGGACUCUGUACUUUGAUUAUAAGGAUCCCUGUUUAUGGAUGAGGAGUCUGAGGCUGGCAGGGUUCCAGGGUCUAGCCUAGUCCUUUGUGGUAGAGUUGGUAUUGUAGCUCAUGUCUCCAGUCUCUUCCCUGAAGUUCUAGGACAAUGGCUGAUCCUGGAUCCUCAGCCCAAGGUACCCCUGGCUCACCGCCCAUCUGGUUUAGGUGGUUGGUUGGUGUGUUCACGUUCCCAGUCACUUCUUUAGUUUGGAUUCUGAGAGCACCUUCUACUGUCCUUGGGGAGUGGGUGGCACCUGGUGACUUACAGGAAUGUACUAGUGACUCCCCUCCCCCCAUACCUGGUUACCUGAGCCAACUUGUGUUUAGGGUGGGGGUACGUACCAUACUUCUUUUGGAUGUUAAUUGGAACCAUUUUGGCCUUCUCAGUGGAGUGGCCCAGAAUGAAGUGAGGCCCCUAUGUAUAGAGGGGCUCCUUGAGGGAGAUUUAUUUACGGAGGACAUGUGUGCCUGGUCUGCUUACUCUAACCUCCUCAUGAUCUGUGAUCACACUUCUCUCAUGCGUGUUGAAACCUUCUCACAUUUUAUAAAUUACUUGCUAGUCAGGAUAUAUGUCUGGGUGACGGUUAUUUUUUAAUAAAAAUAAUAUAUUUUUGAAGACAUGGCUUAGUUCCUGCUGGGGUGAAGUGCAGAGAGUUCACAUUCUGCUGGUUAAUGCCAGCUUUCCUAACAUGGAGUAUUAGACUGGAAAGAACCUUGUGUAUAAUAAUUUGUUGAUUAUUAAAAAUUAAAAAUAAUCUUACUGUAAUCUACUUCUGGAAUGGUUGCAUUAGGAGCUCUGUGGACUGCUGUUCAGUGAGAUGAUACUUGGUGAAAAUUACUAAAAAACAAACAAAAAAACAACCAGUUAAAGUCUCUGGGAAUUGUCCUAAGGGCAUACAGCAAGUGAAACAUCUACUCAAGAAAAUCUACUAGAUUUCAGUAAGAACAGUGAGAGUUUGUGCCACUUGAGCCAAGACCUGCUCCUUCUCUCCCUCUUCCUCCAUCUCCCUGCCCAGCACAGGAUGAUGGUAACUGUUCUCCAAGUGGGCAUGGCCAAAAAGAUGGGGUUCCCUAUCCUCCUGGUUCUCACCAAGGGCUUCGGUAUCUCCCCAGGAGAGGCAUGUUGUCAGCAUUUCUCAUCAACGCUCCCCCAUUCCAUGUUAAAUCAAAAACCAAACCACUGCUGUUGAGUUGAUUCUGACUCAUAGUGACUCUACAAUACAGAGUAGAACUGCCCCAUAGGGUUUCCAAGACUGUCAAUCUUUACAUCUUUCUCCGUGGAGCAGCUGGUGGGUUCAAACCACUGACCUUUUGAUUAGCAGCUGAACCCUUUAACCACUGCACCACCAGGGCUCCUAGUUCCAUGCUGCAGAGGCUAAAUUCUAGGGGAAUGCAGCCAGCCCCUACUCAUGGGGGAGAGGCUCUACCCCAGGCUGAGAUUACUGGGGUUGUCAUAACAACUUGCUAAUAGGGUGGAGGUCUCAUCCCAGGAGAGGCAAGGUGAAGUAACCAACCCUCCAUGACCCUGCUUUUAACGCAGAGGUGCUACUCUGAGGGAAGCAGGCCACUGUCUCCACCCCCAGCUGUAGAGCAGUGGCUCAGAGACUUUGCCAAAGAGGAGAGAGACCACGAGAACAGAGAGCCCUGAAGCUGUCCCCAAAGGAACUGAGUUUAUAACAGAGAGUGUGGAUGUUGAACCCUAAGGAUGCUCUCAAAAACAAUGGAGAUUUUGGUGGAAAAGUGUUAGUGGGAGGAUGAUAGCACCAUGAGAGCAAUAGGAGAAACCUUAGGCCAGCUAGCUUAUCAGACAAAACAAGGGGAAGAGACAGCUAAGAAGAGUCCCCUUGAAGUCAUGACAGCUCUCAAACACUGACCUCAAAUACUGUCCCUGCAAAGAGGCCUGGACUUAAUUGGAUUAGGCUGUGGAGCAAUUUAUGCCCCAGAGCAUUGUCAGAAACAAGCAGUGGAGUCUACCAGUGGGUGUAAAUGAGAGGGAGAUAACAGAGAAGUCGGAAAGAUAGUCAAAGGAAGCUGUGCUAAAACCAUCGACACACCAGGGAGAAUGUGCUUAUCCUCAAGGCCAUGUCCUCUGAGGAGCACCAUCAGAUGCUGCACACCGCAGGGGAAAAUAGACUUGACUAAACUAGUCCAGCUAAGUCACUGAAAAAAAUAAAUAAGGAAACAAUAACAAGCUCUGGAAAAGGGGGAAGGGACUGAGUACCCAGAGUUGCUGCAUUGCAUUAUCUAAAAUAUCCAGUUUUCAACAAAAAAUUAGAAGACAUGCAAUUCAUAGAAAACUAUGUCAAGGGGGGGGAAAUCAGGCAACAGAAAUUGCUUGGGAAAAUCUCUGGAUUUAAAAAAGACUUCAAAGCAGCUGUUAUAAACAUAUUCAGAGAAAAUCAUGCUUAAGGAAGUAAAAACAAGCAUGAUGAAAAAGUUCAUCAAAUGUAGAAUAUCAAUAAAGAGAAAUGAUUGAAAAAAAAAGCCAAAUCAAAAUUAUGAAGUUGAAAAGUACAGUAACUCAUGAAAAUUCACUAGGGGGCCACAGUCAUAGACUUUGCAGAAGAGUUAGUGAACUUCAGUAUAGGGUGAUAGAGAUUAUGUAACCUGAAGAAAAGAUGGAAGGAAAAAAGAAUGAAGAAAAACAAACAGAGCCUCAGAGAAGUAUGGGAUGAUAUUAAGUGCAGAGGCUAAAUUCCAGUGCAUCUUACACAUAUGCACUUAAUAACAAAUGUGCAGUAAAAGCAGGACUGGACAGUGUUUCAUUCUGUUGUACGCAGGGUCACGAGUGGGAACCAACUUGUUGAUGACACCUAACGAUAACAAUAAGAGCUUCAGAAAAAGGGGGGGACCCCCCCAUAUGUGUGUAUGUGUAGAGAGUUAGAGAGAGGAAAAAAACAAUGACGGGAAACUUCCCAAAUUUGAUGAAAAACAUUACACAUGCAGGAAGCACACUGACUUCACAUAGAAUAAAUGCAGAGACCACAGCCAAAUAUAUCCUAGUAAAAACGUUGAAAGUCAAAGACAAAGGGAAGAUCCUGAAAGCAGCAAGAGAAAAGUGACUUAUCACGGGGUUGAGGGGGGGGGCCCAGGAAGAUUAACAGCUGACUUUUCAUUAGAAACAGUGGGGAUCAGAAGGUAGUGGGAUGGCAUAUUUAAAGCCCUGAAAGAAAAAAAUAACUGUCAACUAAGUAGGUUAUAUCCAGCAAGACUGUCUUUAAAAAAUGAAGGUGAAAUAAGACAUUGCCAGAUAUGGAAAAAAAAAAAAAAAAUCCUGAGAGAAUGUGUUGUUAGCAGACCCGCCUUUCAGAAAGUGUUAAAAUUCUUCAGGUUGUGCUGAGUUGAAAAGAGUAAUUCUUAUACGUGGAAGAGUACACGUAUCUCUUUAUGUAGACAGACGUUAUUUUUAAGUUGUUACGAAUGAAGAACAUUUUUGCAGCAUGGGGCACUGUUUUGCUCUGUACUUCCUUUACAAGGCUCCCCUGUAAAGAAACGUCAUCUGGUGAAAUUUGGCCAUGGAGGGAGAGACUGUUUCCCUUCACAUUACCCACAUCCUCGUUCUCUUUUUGCAAAUAGAAGACCUUAUAUGAAAGCUUGGUGAUUUUAUGUAACUUCAAAGAAGUCUGUGUCCUUGGCACCUUCAAGAAGUUUUUAUUGUAAUGGUAAAAGCUAAGUAUUGCAGUUUGACUUUUUUUUUUAAUCCCACUUGGAAGUAAAUUUGAUUAGCCUUCUCUGGGUAGAGCCCUCAGCCGGUUCCACUUUAUUCUGCGUCUUUUUUCAAAGGCACAUUUUAAAUGUUCUAGUCAGAGCUCUCCUGGAGGUGAUAAAGAGAGCAGCUGUGGAGAGAGGGAGAACCUGGGGGCUUUACAGUCUGGGGUUGUGGUUUCCCGGCUCUGCUGCUAUCUGCUUUGUGACCCGGAACCAGCCACUUUUUCCUCUCUGACCCUGGGUUUCAGAUGUUGAAAGGUCACCCUGAGCAGUGACUGACAGGAAAGUGACCACAGUCCUCCUCCACCCUCAGCAGAUCUGAUGUUGGGGUGGGGCGGAGAGAGCCUUCCGUUUCUCUCAGCCUCGGGGUAUUUCAUCCUCUGCAAGCAGAAGGGGAGGGGAGCCUGCUUUCCCACCAGCUCAGAUACUUCUUCAGUGAGCCGUGUAGAUGGGAGGAUGCAAGCUGUAACCAGCAAGGCACGUCUAAUGUGGCAUCUGUUUUUUCUUGAUGCCCACCAGCGUUACUGCCAAGUUCUGCCCCCCGAGGAAGUGGGAAAGCAGUCCUACUCAGUAUUAUAAAAGUGCCAGCCUGAAAGAUAAUUACAAAUGAAAAGGCUAUUUUGGAGAUGGUCUUCACUCUGCCCUUCUUCAGAUCUUUUUAAUGACUAUUCUGGCAACAGAAGCCAUCAAAGCGUCGGUGUUGACUUGCCGGAGGGGUGCGGUGGUAUCGGGUUCAUGUGCCACCAUCCAUGGGGCCAGGAUCGCGUGUCAGCAGUCAUCCCAGAAAUGCCAGAUGAUGGAUUUGGGCGUGCUUCUAUGAAGAAAUGCCACGUGACUCUCCUGGUCCAAGAACAAACAUAUCUGGGCUACUGCCACCAUAGGGAACUAGGGCUUGGUGACUGCGCUUCCCCAGGAGUCGGGCGUGGUCUAGCCCAGGAACAAGAACCCCAUCGCUACCAAUGACAUCAUGACAGCAAGAGAGCACAGCCCCCGCCAUGGCUCCAGGGCCCGUGCGAUGCAGCGGGCGUCCACCAUUGACGUAGCGGCUGACAUGCUGGGCCUGUCUCUGGCAGGAAAUAUACAAGAUCCAGAUGAGCCCAUUUUAGAAUUCAGCUUAGCUUGCAGCGAGCUGCAUACUCCAUCGCUAGAUCGAAAACCAAAUAGUUUUGUAGCUGUGAGCGUAACCACGCCUCCUCAGGCAUUCUGGACAAAGCACGCACAGACGGAGAUCAUUGAGGGAACCAACAAUCCUAUAUUUCUCAGCAGUAUUGCCUUCUUUCAAGACUCUCUUAUCAAUCAGAUGACACAAAUCAAACUAUCUGUCUAUGAUGUCAAAGACAGAUCUCAGGGAACAAUGUAUUUACUCGGCUCUGGGUCCUUCAUUGUCAAAGAUCUGCUCCAAGAUAAGCAUCAUAGGCUGCAUUUAACACUAAGGUCUGCGGAGAGUGACCGAGUGGGUAACAUCACCGUGAUAGGCUGGCAGAUGGAUGAGAAGUCAGACCAGCGGCCCCCUGUGACCCGGGCUCUGGACACUGUCAAUGGGAGGAUGGUUCUGCCCGUUGAUGAGAGCUUAACUGAGUCAUUGGGAAUCCGAUCCAAAUAUGCUUCAUUGCGAAAAGACACUUUACUAAAAUCAGUGUUUGGUGGUGCCAUCUGCCGCAUGUACCGGUUCCCGACCACCGAUGGCAACCACCUGCGGAUCCUGGAGCAGAUGGCGGAGAGUGUGCUCUCCCUGCACGUGCCCCGGCAGUUCGUGAAGCUCCUGCUGGAAGAAGACGCGGCCAGGGUCUGUGAACUGGAGGAGUUAGGGGAGCUGUCCCCUUGCUGGGAGAGCCUUCGACGCCAGAUAGUCACUCAGUACCAGACCAUCAUCCUCACAUACCAGGAGAACCUGACUGACCUCCAUCAAUACAAAGGUCCCUCGUUCAAAGCAAGCAGUUUGAAAGCAGAUAAAAAGUUAGAAUUUGUUCCCACAAACCUGCACAUACAAAGGAUGAGAGUUCAAGACGAUGGAGGAUCAGAUCAGAACUACGACAUUGUCACCAUCGGGGCCCCAGCGGCACACUGCCAGGGUUUCAAAUCAGGAGGUCUCCGCAAAAAGCUGCACAAAUUUGAAGAGGCCAAGAAACAUACGUCAUCCAGCUGCCAGUCCAUAAUCUACAUACCACAGGACAUCGUCAGAGCAAAGGAGAUUAUCGCCCAGAUCAACACCCUGAAAACCCAAGUUAGUUACUAUGCAGAGCGGCUCUCCAGGGCUGCCAAGGACAGGUCCGCCACUGGCCUAGAAAGGACGCUGGCCAUCUUGGCAGAUAAGACCCGGCAGCUGGUCACAGUCUGCGACUGCAAGCUUCUGGCCAACUCGAUCCAUGGUCUGAAUGCCGCACGACCCGACUACAUUGCCUCCAAGGCCUCCCCCACCUCGACCGAGGAGGAGCAGGUGAUGCUCAGAAAUGACCAGGACACCCUCAUGGCCAGGUGGACGGGGAGAAACAGCCGAUCUUCUCUGCAGGUGGACUGGCAUGAGGAGGAGUGGGAGAAAGUGUGGCUGAACGUCGACAAGAGCCUGGAGUGCAUCAUUCAGCGGGUGGACAAGCUGCUGCAGAAGGAGCGUCUGCAGGGCGAGGGCCACGAGGACGUCUUCCCCUGCGCUGGCGGCUGCCCCAGCAAGAAAGGUAACUGGCGUAGCCGCGCCUACUGGAUCCGACCGGAGGACUCCUUCUGCGAUGCCCCCUCCUCACCAUGCCCCUCCGCCACGCCGUCUGCUGCAUGCCACCCUCACCUGACCACACGUGAAUGGAGUGAGGCCCUCUACCCGCUGCUGACCACGCUGACAGACUGUGUGGCCAUGAUGAGUGACAAGGCCAAGAAGGCGAUGGUCUUCCUGCUCAUGCAGGACAGCGCUCCCACCAUAGCCACGUGCCUGAGCCUGCAGUACCGCCGUGACGUUGUCUUCUGCCAAACCCUGACCGCUCUCAUCUGUGGCUUCAUCAUCAAGCUGAGGAACUGCCUGCAUGAUGACGGCUUCCUGCGGCAGCUCUACACCAUCGGGCUACUGGCUCAGUUCGAGAGCCUGCUGAGCACCUACGGUGAGGAGCUGGCGAUGCUGGAGGACAUGAGCCUCGGGAUCAUGGACUUGAGGAAUGUGACCUUCAAAGUCACCCAGGCCACUUCUAACUCAUCAACCGACAUGCUGCCUGUCAUCACGGGAAACCGCGAUGGGUUCAACGUGCGGAUCCCCCUGCCCGGCUCGCUGUUUGACUCCCUGCCCCGGGAAAUCCAGAGCGGCAUGCUGCUACGGGUGCAGCCCGUCCUCUUCAACGUGGGCAUCAACGAGCAGCAGACGCUGGCUGAGAGGUUUGGUGACACGUCUUUACAGGAAGUCAUCAACGUGGAGAGUCUGGUGCGGCUAAAUUCCUACUUUGAGCAGUUUAAGGAAGUUUUGCCUGAGGAUUGUCUACCUCGAUCUCGGAGUCAGACGUGCCUGCCCGAGCUGCUGCGCUUUCUGGGCCAGAACGUACACGCCAGGAAGAAUAAGAACGUUGACAUCCUCUGGCAAGCGGCUGAGGUCUGCCGCCGCCUGAACGGGGUCCGGUUCACCAGCUGCAAGAGCGCCAAGGACCGCACGGCCAUGUCGGUGACGCUGGAGCAGUGCCUGAUCCUGCAGCACGAGCACGGCAUGGCCCCACAGGUCUUCACGCAGGCCCUGGAGUGCAUGCGCAGGUCAGUGUGACUCCCUCCUUCUUGCUCCUUAAAACGUAAGCAAUGAGGCCGACACUUCAGGACAGCCAGGAAUCACUCAGUGUGAGAAAUCCUGCCCCUCUCCUCCACACGCCGCUUCGCUGUGGCCACCAUGGUGUCCCUGUCAGCCUCUGCCUGUCAGAGACCGUGCCAGCACCAGCCAGUACCAUCAAGCCACUCAGGUCUGGAGGCAUCGACCCAGUGGGGUUUGCAUCUGAGAAAGGGUCCCUGCGCCUGAGAAGCUCCUCGACCAGGGGAAGAUUGAGGACAAAGACCUCCCUUCAGAGCCGAGAAAGAGAAAGCCUUCUCCUGGAGCCAAAGCCUUGAAUUUGGACUUGUAACCUACUAGACUGUGAGAAAAUAAAUUUCUCUUUGUUAAAGCCGUCCACUGGUGGUAUUUGUUAUAGCAGCACUAGAUGACUAAGACAAUGACAUACUCUGAUUUCAUUCAUAUAGCAUUCUUGAAAUGGAGUAGAUCAGUGGCUGCCAGGGUUGAGGAGGGGGAAGUCUGCAGGAGGGUAGUGGGUGUGGCUAUAAGCACAACCUGAGAGGUUCUUGCGAUGGAAGUGUUCUGUGUCUUGAUGUACCAACGUCAAUUGUAUGGUUGUGAUAUCAUACCACAGGUUUGGAGGAAGUGACCACUGGGGGAAACUACGGAAAAGGUACAUGGGAUCCAUCAUUUCUUACAACUGCAUGGAAAUCUAUAAUUAUCUCAAAAUAAAGUUUCAUUAAAAAAAUCAAUUGCAUUUCUAUAUACUAGCAACAAUCUGAAAUUGAAAUUAAGAAUUCCACUUACAAGAACAUCAAAGAAUAAAUCAUUUCGAAGUUAAAAGUACAAGACUUGCACAGUGAAAACUACAGAACACUCUUGAAAUUAAAGACAAACUCAAUAAAUGGAAAGCCAUCCUGUGUUCAUUAAUUAGAAGACUUUAAUACUGUUAAGAUAGUAAUGUUCCCCAAAUUGAGCUACAGAUUCAUCACAAUCUCUAUGAAAAAAAAAAUUUUUUUAACAGAAACUGAUCAGCUGAUCCUAAAAGUUCAAAUGAAAAUCCAGGGCCCCCAAAGUAGCACCCCCCAAAAGAAAUCUUGAAAAGAACAAACGCAUUGGCGGACUCACACUUCCUAACUUCAAAACUUACUACAAAGCUUUGGUAGUUAAGGCAGAGUGGUAGUAACACUUAAAUAAAAUCCAACAUCUAGAAAUAAACCCUCACACUGAUGGUCAAGAAAAUUCAAUGCAGAGAGGGCAGUCUUCUCAAGAAACAAUGCUGGGACAAUCAGAUACCCACAGGGAUAGAAACAAAGGUGGACCCCUCAUACGAUAUUCAAAAAUUAACUCAAAAUGGGUCAUAGAUCUAAAUCUCCAUAAACUUGGAUUAGGCAGGGGUUGCUUAGACACACCAAAAACAUGAGCAGCAAAAAUUAGAUAAACUGGGCUGCCAAAAAAAACAAAAUUGUGCUUCAAAGAACACCAUAAAGAAAGUGAAAAGAUAACCCACAGAUUGGGAGGAAAUAUUUGCCCAUCAUAUUUAAUGACUUCUAUCCACAAUAUACAAAGAGUUCUUAGAACUCAACAAUAAAAAGAUAACCCAAUUGAAACAUGGACAAAUGGUGUGAACAGAUAUUUCUCCAACGAUAUACAAAUGACCAAGUACCUGAGAACAGGUUUAAUAUUAGCCACUGGGAAAUGCAUAACAAAACCCCAGUUAGAUACCACUUCAUACACAGUUGUUGCUGCUAUCAUCAUCAAGUUGAUUCCGACUCAUGUGUACAGAGUAGAACCACGCCAUGGUUUUCAAGGCUGUGACCUUUCAGAGGCAGAUCGCCAGACCUGUCUUCCAAGGUGCUUCUGGGUGGGUUUGAACUGCCAACCAUUUGGCUAAUAGAACGCUUAACCAUUUGUACCAUCAAGGGACUCCUCGUACACCGUAGGAAGUUAAAAGCAGGGGAGCUGCAGACUACCUGACUGCUUUAAGGCCGGGGAGCUGUGGAAGUACACAGAAGCUAGGGUUUUCUUUAUCCUUCAAUACCAAAAACAAAGUUUGAAAUUCGGUUUCAUAUUUGAUCCUCUACUGUAUUAAGAGAUCAGAAUAAAAGGCGUCACUGUGAUCCUCAGCUUUUUCAAGCAUUUUGUGCUCUUCACUCUUGCUUUCUAUAGUGCACACCUGUUCUUUCUGCUUCCUCUGAAACCCUUUCCUUUGGAGAGAGGCCCAGCACUCGCCCAGCGCCAUUCUGAUGGGAGUGAACAAUUACAGUGCAAUGGGAAAGGCUACGGCCCAGGGCUGGCCGGUCAUGGCUCAUCCUUUUCUCCACAGGGACCAGCCCAGUGAAGUACAGGCGAUCCAGGAAAGAUCAAGUCCUUUGUGAUAUUCGAUUUGUGGGCCCCAGAAGAGGAAGUCAUCUCUCUUCUUUUUAGAUCACUUAAGGAUGCACGCUUAUGGCUAACACUGGCCAUUUUCCCCAUCAUGUCGAGGGUGCCAGCCCGAAAAGGAAGCCGGGAAACCAAAGUCAGGAGAUGGAGGCAAAUCCCUGAUGAGGUACUGGGCUUCGUAUCCAGCUAUGCCUAAUGUAUAAUACGAAAGUCCUGAGGUUGUUCACUUCAGCAAUUCAGUGAAAAUAAGGCAUUUCUCCGAGGAAUCAAACACAAUUGACUUUAUUUUAAAACGAGGUAGGGCAGAUUACAUAAGAGAAAAGAAAGUUUUAGCCUACGCUUUCCUGUUAGACAUUUUCUCUCCAGGCUCCACGUUACUGAUUACAGUAGCCCCACCAGUGAUCUCUUUCAUAUUCACAAAUUGUACAAAUUGUGUCAUUUGAUCCAAGAGUCAAGUUCAAAAAUACCAACCUUUCCACUAACUGUGCUUUCUAAGAAUGUUCUAACAAUUCUCAAGACACAUUUACUAUGUGCCCAUAAUCGCUCAGUUAAACCUUUUCUUCUAAAACUAGCUGAAAGCAAGACAAUCUUUAUUUACACUUAUUCAAAACCAGGGCUCAUCCAGAUGCCCGGUUUUCCAUGGCGGGCAGCUGCCAGGUGAACGCGGCAGACAGAGCCAGCAGCGUGCUCCCUCUCGCGGGGUGCCUGCAGUGACCGCAGAGAAAUCCCUCCACCUUGGUGUCAACAUAAUGGUAUCAGUAUCCUUUUCUUCCUCUGAAUCUUGCUCUGGCAUCCAGCUGAAAAUAAAUGUACAAUUAAAUUUUGUACAAUAUCAUUUAUUAAUUGCAACCUGGGUAAGGGAUAUCGCUGUAUAAAAGAAGUAAACUAGUCUUCAGAAAAAGCAAAAAGGUAAUAGAGCAGCCAAGAAAACAAUGGUAAACAGAGAUGGCAAUAACACCAAAAGGUUCCAUUUAAGGCAGGGAUUUUCUUUGCUGAGUCAGGUCCACUCUUAAUCCAAGUUACAUGAAGUUUUGUUUGGGUAAAGAUCCAGAUGUACUGAAAUACACAGCAACUGAGGAAAGGGGAAAGAUCCCUGACAAAAGUAACACAUAGUCAAUUUGGGAUUAAAAAUGCUGGAAGUGGCUGAAAGCAUGUUCUCUGACUUACGUCUCAUUGUGCAGCCAUUUCUUAAGGGUGUGUGUACCUGUGUGUGUGUGUGUGAGGUUCUAAAGUCAGUAUAUAAGGCUAAAUUACACAGUUAACAUUACUCCAAAAAUGCUUUAGGAAGAAAUUAUUUUGGAGAUAGACCCUAGUGAUAAGUCCAACACAGCCUGCAUGGGACUGAGCAAUAGAUGAAGCAGCUAAGAGUCAUAUUAAAAAAAAAAGGGGGAAAGACAGAUAUUUGUAAACACGGCAAUCAUGAUCAGGAUGGUGAGAUGCUCCUAAGAUGAGGAAAUAGCAGAUACCCUUCUCGCCUUCCCUCGGGGCACACCCUCACUGUUUGGGAAUAUCAGGCAAAACCACCCACACGAUUUAAAUUGUUGUUUUUCUGGUUCUGCCAAGCACAUGUAAGUGAGGCUGCGUUAGGCAGAUGUGAAGUGACUUUACUCAUUCUGGAAGACUAAUAGUAAAUCUUACUCUUGCAGAAAGAUGUUAAGAAUCUUCAAGUCUUAUGUCUGCUAAGAAGUUCCCUUUCUAGAAAAGUUGCUCUUUCUAGUGUUAAAGCGCAAAGCUCUGCAUUGUAGGUAUAAUGAGACAUGGCCAGAAGCACUUUCACUUUUUAUUACAAAUUUCUGCAGAAAGUAGAUAAACUGUCAAAAUUUAAAAAAUGUUCCGACUUUUUAUCAUCUUUUAUAGACUGAGCUGUAGGCAGGCAAGUGCCGGGAACUUCUCAACUCAGUGAUUUCAGAGGGUUAAACAGGAUGGUGCAUCAUCCCCUCCACUAGCUCUUCGUGGUGACUUCUCCGUCAUCUCAGCAGGCUUGAGGUCUAAGGUUUACAUUUUCAGAAGCCGCAAAACUAUUUGAGGAAAGGCAAUAAAAAGCCUCUCUCUUUUACAUUAAAUGACAGAAAAACACGGCAGAGAGACCUGUCCUUGAGGAAGGAAACAAAGCACAGCCAAAUUUAAUCUAACUUUACGCACCCCCCCUCCAUCUGAUUGGAGUCCUGGUGGCACAGUGGUUAAGACCUCAGCUGCUGACCAAAAGAUUGGCAGUUUAAAUCCACCAGGCGCUCCUUGGAAAGCCUAUGGGACAGUUCUACUCUGUUCUAUAGGGUCACUAUGAGUCAGAACUGACUCGAUGGCAGCAGGUUUGGUUUUCUGGUUUGUAUCUAUCUGAUGGGUUAGAAAACAUGCUGCAGUGCUCUGUUUGGCCUCUUCGGUCAUAAACAUCCUGAACCCUUGGGUUCUCUUAUCACCAAAAGACAAGGGAUUUGCAGCUCCUGAGAAACAAAAGCAGGCUCAGACCGAAGUUACUGCUUUCUGUUACAGAAAACUUUUUUCUGUUUUCGUACUUUCCUUUCUCAAGACUUAUUAUUCAGUUUCCAUUCCAAAGAUCUUUUUUCGAUCUUUCAAACCAAAGAACGUUAGCACACAAAUCCCAGAAAUGUGGAAGGUCCUCUCCACAAUCUACCACUCCAAAAAUUCAAACACAGAUACCGACAUUCUCUACUGGUCACACCAACUCACAAGGCAAACGUGUACAUACCUUGGACCUCUACUCUGUGGGCUUAUGUAUGUAUAAUUGCCAAAUGACCUGAAUUCUGUGCUUGGUAUCAACCUUUAACCGUUCACACUUGCCAAGACUUCAUUAUCACACUUUCAGAAACUCAAGCUUGGCAGCUAUGGUCAGCAUAGUGACAGAAUAAACCAAAACCAAACCCACUGCCACUGAGUCGAUUCCGACUCAGGGCGACCGUGUAGGACAGAGUAGAGCUGCCCUAUGGGGCUUCCAAGGUUGUAAAUCUCUACAGAAGUAGACAGACUGCCACAUCUUUCUCCCACAGAUUGUCUGGUGAGUUCGAAUUACUGACCUUUUCCUUAGCAGCCGAGCACUUUAGCCAUUGCACCACCAGGGCUCCGGGGGCAGAAGAGCUGAAUAAUGCCAGUAAUUACUGCCAAUCACAUUAGCUACACUCUGACAUGAACAAAACCAAAAACCAAACCUGCUACUGUCAAGCCAACUCUGACUCACAGUGACCCUACAGCAAAGAGAAGAACUACCCCACAGGGUUUCCCAAGGAGCCGCUGGUGGAUUUGAACUGCCAACCUUUUGGUUAGCAGCUGAAUGCUUAGCCACUGUGCCAUCAGGGCUUCAACAUUGAGCUCACCGGGGUAAGUUUCUGUAAACUAAAUCACUGCAGUCUGUGUGCCAAUUCACUCAUAUAUUUAACUCCAUAUCACUCAUUUUUAGCAUAAGUUUCUGAAAAUCUUUAAUCACUUACCGAUGACCUUUUACAUUCAAAAAAUGAAUACUGCAAAGCUUUGCAACUUCCUUCCUUCAAACAUUGCCGAGGAGUUUUUCCUUCCUGUAACAUAUAAAAACAACGUAAAUACCUGGACAUUUUUCUCACAAGCUAUAAAAUAACUGCCCUUUUGAAAAGUUUUUUUAAAGAAAAAAAAAAGAGAAAAACUGUGAACUACAUGAGACAUAGUUCUUAAUUCUUUUUGACUACUGGUACUUAAAGAAAAAAGGGACAGAACAUUGGCUUGGAUGGGAUAUUUUUCUCUAAAAUGUUUAUGUAAAAACCUAGAAAUCGAUGUCCUCACCUCCUUACAGGCAGGAAAGGGAAACUGUAAAGGUGAGGGACGUUAACAGGGAUUCCUCAAUAUUUCUAAAAUGUUUAUAGCCAAGAACUCCUAAAGACAGGGGAGCAAGCUUCGAGUGUGUGUGCGUGUACGUGUGUGUGAGAGUCAGCACCAGCGAGUCACCUGUGAGAGCAGGCAUGCUGUUGUGGGAAGUAGGGGGCGGGGGUUUGUUCCGGAAGGUGGUCUCAGGUGGCUUUAACUUAUUCUUUUAUUCAAGUAUUUUACCUUCAAUACGACUCUGCAAUUUCCCAUACCCCAGCGCCCACUGCCGGAUUGAGACUGAGACGCUCAGCUGAGUAAGAAGUGGAAGAGGGAUGUGGGGUGCUGACAGAGGAGACCUGCCUGGGCCUGAUGGGAAAUCCAUCACCUUUAAGCAGUGAGAGCACAAAGAAGUUUCAAGAGGAAAACUGGGCCAAACGGCUCCCUUUCUGCCAUCGAGGCAGGAUGCUGCGGGAAAGUACUCACAGGACUGUUGUUUAUUUCUGACUCUCGACAACUUUUUUUUUUUUUUAACUGUAACUAUUAAAAAUUAGACUUGGCAAAGUAUUAACUGAAAAACUAGGCAGGAGCUAAAAUUUAGUAUUUUUCUUUCAAGUUAAACAUGGAAUAAAAAUCCUAAUACUAUCUCUUUAUUAUCUUAAAAGAUUUCAAAUAAAUUACCAUAAAUUUAACUUAAAAAAAGAUACUUAAAUAUACUAGACACGUGGAACCAUUUCCAGAAAAUACACUUCACAAUUUGAAGAGGUGAGAUUAAAAUUUAACUGCAGUGAAACUUUAACAGCCUACCCUACUGAUGUAUCAUGUACCCAACCCUGCCUUCGCAAAGACUAAUUUAAGGAAAAUACAUAUAUUCACCACAAUCACAGGGCUAGUGGGAGAACAGAAGGCCCACACGAGACGUUUCCUGCCCACUCGAGACCUUUAAUGUAGGGAGGGAGAGAAGAUGCACACAGAAACACCAACGGGAACACAAGCACCCCAAGUGGGCGAGCACCUGGGUGGGAAAAGGGAAAAAGUGCUGACUGACUCUGGUUCCCUGGCAGUGUAAAUACAUAAAACAACACACGGAAAAAGCACAUUAACUCAACUUUUCGAAUCACCUGAGGUUUAAAGACAUCCAACUAUGACUUGUAGUUCACACAGAGAAAAACAAAUACACAAAUCAAAACUUAAUUAUUAUUACUAAACAAAGAAAUAAUAAAAGUAAAAAAAAUACAGUUUAAUGAACUGCAGGGCUUGGCACUAUAAAGAUCGUGAAACCUUCCUACUCAGCAUGAGUUCCUGCGUAGAAGGAAUCAAGCACCUCUGCCUGUGAACAAUGAGCCUGUUCAAGGGAACGUCAGGAGCACCGACAGCCUGGAUGAGGUGCCUACCCUCAGAACACUGUUACUGUUGGUAUCCAUUACCCACUGCCGUCGAGUCAAUUCCAAGUCAUAGCGACCCUGUAGGACAGAGUAGAACUGCCCCACAGCGUUUCCAAGGAGCGCCUGGUGGAUUCGAACCACCAACCUCUUGGUUAGCAGCCGUAGCACUUAACCACUAGGCCACCAAGGUUUCCUUACUGUUGGUACUGAAUACUCAACACAGCCGCGAGAGGGGCAGGCUAGAAACACUUAGCUGGAAACCUCUGGUUCAUUCAGGAAGCAGGAAAAAUGCAACCCAAAUGUCACUGCUGUGCGUCAUCUGGGGUUUCCCCUCAAGCAGAUGUUUGCCCCUCUGUCACCACUGCCACAUCCCCCCAACCUUUAUUUCACAAGUACCAGUCACAUUCUUUGGUGGCACAGUGGUUAAGCUCUCGCUGCUAACUGAAAGGUCGGUGGUUCAUACCCACCAGCCAACCGCUCCGUGGGAGAAAGACGCAGCAGUCUGCUUCUGUAAAGAUUACAGCCUUGGAAACCCUAUGGGGCAGUUCUGCUCUAUCCUACGGGGUCGUUAUGGGUGGGUCAGAAUCAAGUCAAGGCACAUUUCCUAGUUUUUACUGUGAAAAAACCUACAUAGUACCUUGUCUGUGCUAUUUCUAUUCGCCAGAAAUCUGGCCACUUUCUAGCCUUUGUACAUGUCGUGUGCCUUGGUCCUAGUAUUCCACCUGCCAUCUCCAUCAGUGAU